AGUUCGUGGAGUGAUCUGUCUGCUUAAUUGCGUUUCAAAAUUUAACUUGAGGACCGGGUUUUGGUUUGGCUAGUGGUUCUACGAUGACUGUGAACUGUCAUGUCUUCGGAUGUGCGACUAUUGGUCUAGGAUCACAUGACUUGCCCCUGGGACUCUUUUGAACGCAACGGACGUGAUUGCAACCCCUUGUUGAGAUUAGAGAUAGUCUCGAUAUUCACUGGACAAACUGGCUGCUUUAUGCAGUCUUGUUGAAUGGUGGAUAAACUCGGGGGACUGCUGACUAUAACCAUUUCUCAAAACAGAGGAAGGUUGCGGCAAUAACAGGUCUGUGAUGCCCUCAGAUGUCCCGGGCUGCACACGUGCUACAAUGAGUGGUGCAAUGUGCUAAUGUUUAAGGGAUAAGAGUGUGGUCAGUAGAACGUCGGGAUUUCCCCUGACGUCUCCCCCGCACGAUUAUCAGCCUUCCCUUAACAGGGCGGGCAACCUUUUCAAAAUACUGGUUUGAUGUUAAAGUAUUGAGUCGUUUUUUUUGGAUGGUGGUUUGUUAACCAAUACCAUCCGGCAACUGCUCGCGAGUUUGUGGUUCUGGCGACUCAU
rnacentral:rRNA from 1 species